GCAUCAAUGGGGUAGUGGUAACCUGGGUCGUUGCCAUCGACCCGCCGGGGGUUCGAUUCCGUCUUGAUGCA
rnacentral:tRNA from 1 species